GACGAACGCUGGCGGCGUGCCUAAUACAUGCAAGUCGAACGCACUCUCGUUUAGAUUGAAGGAGCUUGCUCCUGAUUGAUAAACAUUUGAGUGAGUGGCGGACGGGUGAGUAACACGUGGGUAACCUGCCCUAAAGUGGGGGAUAACAUUUGGAAACAGAUGCUAAUACCGCAUAAAACCUAAACACCGCAUGGUGUAGGGUUGAAAGAUGGUUUCGGCUAUCACUUUAGGAUGGACCCGCGGUGCAUUAGUUAGUUGGUGAGGUAAAGGCUCACCAAGACCGUGAUGCAUAGCCGACCUGAGAGGGUAAUCGGCCACACUGGGACUGAGACACGGCCCAGACUCCUACGGGAGGCAGCAGUAGGGAAUCUUCCACAAUGGACGAAAGUCUGAUGGAGCAACGCCGCGUGAGUGAAGAAGGUUUUCGGAUCGUAAAACGUCUGUUGUUGGAGAAGAAUGUAUCUGAUAGUAACUGAUCAGGUAGUGACGGUAUCCAACC
rnacentral:rRNA from 1 species